rnacentral:rRNA from 1 species
UCGAGGAUCUUCGGCAAUGCGCGCAAGCGCGACCGAGCGACGCCGCGUGGGCGACGAAGGCCUUCGGGUUGUAAAGCCCUGUCGAGGGGGAGAAAGCCGCAAGGCGGAUCCAUCCCUGGAGGAAGCUCGGGCUAAGUUCGUGCCAGCAGCCGCGGUAAGACGAACCGAGCGAACGUUGUUCGGAAUCACUGGGCUUAAAGGGCGCGUAGGCGGGCUGCCGCGUCCGGGGUGAAAUCCCACGGCUCAACCGUGGAACGGCCCCGGGUACGGGCGGCCUCGAGGAAGGUAGGGGCGUGCGGAACUGUGGGUGGAGCGGUGAAAUGCGUUGAGAUCCACAGGAACUCCGGUGGCGAAGGCGGCACGCUGGACCUUUUCUGACGCUGAGGCGCGAAAGCCAGGGGAGCGAACG